rnacentral:rRNA from 1 species
UACAGAGGGCUCGAGCGUUAAUCGGAAUCACUGGGCUUAAAGGGUGCGUAGGCGGACCUGUAAGUAUUUUGUGAAAUCCCACGGCUCAACCGUGGAAUUGCUUGAUAGACUGCAGGUCUUGUGGUUGGUAGGGGCUGUCGGAACUCUAGGUGUAGCGGUGAAAUGCGUAGAUAUCUAGAGGAACACCAAAGGUGAAGACAGGCAGCUGGGCCAGUCCUGACGCUGAGGCACGAAAGCGUGGGUAGCGAACGGGAUUAGAAACCCCGGUAGUCC